CGCCGCUCGGGGCCGCGCGAGGACGCCGCUCGGAGGCCGCGCGAGGACGCCGCCUGGAGGCCGCGCGAGGACGCCGCUGUGGGGUCGCGUGAGGGCGCCGCGUGCAUCGCCGGACCACCACGCCAUCACCGCAGGAGGGCCGCGCGCCUCUGUGUGCCAGGAGAGCACCACCGGUAGGGGUAGGCCAUUGACGAGAUCUGAAACAGCUCAGUGAACGAGGUGUAGAUCCAUCCAUCUUGUGGUCUUGGUGAUGCGCAACAACCAGUCCCUUCAGAUCAAGAAGGUUCAAGUUCGGAAACCUCUUGUCAACAGAGAAGAUGGGUCAAAGAAAAUUAUACGUGCAGUAUUACUUGGACUACUGCCAAUAUAUAUGGAGGAGAAGAUUAAUUGCUGGUAUUCUUGUGUGUCUAGCCAUGCAUCUGUAUAGGAUUAAAUCAAGAAAAAGAAGAAGGGCCAUAACUUAUGGUCCCAUGAUAGAUAGAGAUGUUGAUAGAUUGGCACGUCUAAAUCGUUUAUAUCAUGGUACAGAGGCCCAUUGCAUAAGUGAGUUGCGUAUGCGGAAAGCUGUCUUUCAUAAACUAUGUGUUGAACUUAGAUCACGUGCCUUGCUAGAGGACACUUUUCAUGUAACAAUAGAGGAACAAGUUGCCAUGUUUAUCCAUUGUGUUGGGCACCAUUGGUCAAAUAGAUCAAUUGGUUUUGAGUUCAUGAGGUCAAGUGAAACGGUUAGUAGGUACUUUCAUCAUGUUUUAGAUGCCCUUUGUACCCUUGGUCGUGACCUCAUAUGCAUGACAUCCAUUGAGACACACUCAAAGAUAACAAGUUCUUCGGGCAGAUUUCACCCUUAUUUUGAGGGAAGACUAGAGGCAAUUCCAAUGACAUCAGAUCAGAGGGUUCUUGUUGGUGAGCACUUAUCUUCCAAGGAGAAUAAAGGUAAGCGUGGCUGGUUGUGUAAUGCAAGUGAUGCUACUCUACAUGCUUGGGUGUUCAAGUUCUUAUGUGACAAGGAAGGCAUUAACCUUUGAAGGCUUGUGAGGUUGGCUGGUCAUAUUUUGUGCCAUGUCGAAGAACUUAGCUGGGUGCUUAUUUUGCUUGUGAUCAUGACUUAUGGUGGCUGAUCAUAUUGUGUGCCCAGAAACUUAUUUAUGUGCUUAGUUUGAUUGUCGUGAAGACUGAUGGCAUGUUGGAUGUGUGCUCACUUUGCCUGGGCUGUAAUGAGCCAUGCUUGGCUAGUUGCUGAUUUUGUAAUUAGUAUUGUAAUAUAAAUCUCCUAGGCUUAAACCUUCUACAUAUAUGUAUAUAUAUGUUGUUCUCUGAAAAAUGAGUGUGAUCCUACUAUGACAAUGAGGUAUUUUUCAUUCA